UAUGAGGUAUUCAGCUUGUCGCUGAUCCCCUGCAUGAUGGUGCCUGCCAUCCUCCCCACGACACCACAUACACUCAGCCAUAGACAAGCCAGAAGACAGAGAAGCUGACGACAGGACUAGACAAUGACUUUGAUGUUGUUUGAUGAGUUCAGACCCUCAGAUCCUGGGACCCAGGAUGUAAGUGACGGAGAACAAUUCACCCAAACGUGUCAGAUCAUCCAUCACUCAUAAGAGUCCAAGUCUUGGGAGAAUUUUCUUUUACCCUUAAGGUUGGGCCCCAUGAAGGCAAUGCCUGUGUCUGCUGUAUCACUACAAUAACCUCUAUCUUAGUAGAAACUAACAAUAGUCCUUCCAUAAAUGAAAUUACAGAAAGAAGAGAGGACUAAACAAUCUCCUUUUGUUGCUAUGGCCCUGUGACAGUGGAACAUGGAGAUGUCGUGUCUGUGUGCUGAAAUAAGGAGACAUCCCUGCUUGUGUUAAAUAAAGUCAGCCAGCAUCACUGACUUAUGGAACCAC